CGUUAAAGUGCUUUGUGCUGAAAUUGUUCUCGGUGCUGUUUUGAAUUUGAAAUUGAUUAGGAUAUAAGAUUUCUUUUUGCUUGAAAUUAUGUGGAGUUGUUCUUCAAUGUGUGAACUCUUGAUCAGAAAAGUUUAGUGUCCUAUGAAUAAGCUAGAUAACUGGUUGUGAUUUUCUGAAGUUAAGUGCUUUGUUGUCAGUGCUAUGCACUGCAGCUGUUCUGUAUUUGAAUUUGUUUAGGAUUUAUGAUUCUGUUUGGCUUGAAAUAUCGUGACGUUGAUCUUCCAUGUGUGUACUACUGAUCUGAAAAAUUUUAGUGUUCUUUGAUAAGCUAGAUAAAUUAUAGUGAGUUUCCGAUGUUAGGUGCUCAUUGAUGAGUAGUUUUCUGCCAUCUACGCUUUUGCAUGAGAUAUCUUUGUUUCCUCCGCCACAUGGGUUAGUGUGCGCCCUAUCCAGAGAUGAAUAGUGUGGGGCUAGUGUAGGUCCUAUUCAUAGAGGAAUAAUGUGGUAUGUUUCGGUAAGUGCUCUGUGAAAUGACUCUCCCCUUUUCAGUUGUACAAAGGGUUAUGUGUUUGGCCUCAAAUUGUGAUAUUUUUGCCUUAUGAGAUGUGAACAAGGCAAGACCUAUGAGAUGUGAAGUGUACUGUUUGAAUAUGUGAGCUUUGAUGUGAAUAAGACUUAACGUGUUUGAUUAGGAAUUUUAGAAUCAUGUAUAAAAUUAAUGUCUCGCACAACAAAUUACUAAUGUGAUAUUUUGUUCUCUGUCAGUUGGUUAGUGUAGGUCAUGUUCAUAGGAGACUAAUGUGGUAUGUUCCGAUAAGUUCUCUGUGAAAUGACUCCCCCUUUUUUAGUUGUAAAAAGGGUUAUGUGGUUUGUCCUCAAAUUGUGAUAUUUUUUGCCUUAUAAUAAGGCAAGACCUAUGAGAUGUGAAGUGUACUGUUUAAAUAUGUGAGCUUUGAUGUGAAUAAGACUUGAAGUGUUUGAUUAGAAAUUUUAGAAUCAUGUAUAAGAUUAAUGUCUCUUGCAACAAAUUACUAGUGUGCUUUUUUGUUCUAUGUCAGUUGGUUUAAAUAUCCGUUUGCUAAAUUUAUUUUGUUACCAUACUUUUUGUUAAUUCAUUGCCUGUGUAAUUGAUUGUUUUAAUUAGCAACGAACCAAGCAUGGGAAAUGCUCAUUGGUGAUUGAUUGUUAAACUAAGAAACAUAGGUAGGAGUUUCUGAUUUUUGUUCUACUUAGUUUUUAAUGUAAUCCACCUGUUGAGUGGUUUUGCUAAAAUGUUUUUGACGUUGUUAGCUUCUCUCCAUUAGGGCCAUUACCUAUUAUUCUUUAUUUCCAUAACUACAAGUGAUUUGUUGUGGCUA
rnacentral:lncRNA from 1 species